AAACUGUGGUCCCAAGUCUCUGUCCUUCAGGACACAGAUGGAUAAGCGAGGCACAAACCAGGCUCCAAGACUAUGAGUCUCAUGUGGAGAAGGUGAGCCACCAGGACCUUCAACGUUGUGGACAUAAGAAGGUAGAUUUAGGAUGAGGGAGAAGAAAUCUUGCCCAAAGAUCAGUUUAUUCCAUCGAAGAAACAAGCAUUCUAUGAGAAGACGUGCUCAGCAGGCUGGAGGGAUGCCUCGUGGUGGCGCCCAUGGCGGGCUUUGAUCCAGUAGACCUCUGACUUGCCCUUUGGCCUCUUCUAGCCCCUGCUCCAACCCUGCCGACACUCUCUGCGAAGGGAGCACAUCACUAGUCCCCCAGGGCCUGACAGACACACAGCUGAUGAUCACAGAUGAAGCUGUUUCCAGCUUGUUUGUCCCCUCAGCAUUGACUGGCCCGUAACAUAUACCUCAUCAUAGAGCCACAUGUGCCAGUCCUUCCCACAGAUCAUGGUGCCUUUAUACUCCCUGCAUCUGAUUGGAACUCUGACUGAUGUCCUGAGUAUUGACACAUGCCAGGGAAGUGUUCUCCCCAGAAGUUGGCCUGUCCUUGCUAAAGCUCCAUUUCCAUUGACUUGGGAGGCUAGCACAUCCAUGCUUCCCAGUCAGAAAACACUGUGAAGAUUCCUCUCGUGCAGGCUCUCCAUCCUAUUCAAACUUGGUUGAUUCUACAGCACAGACCACACAGCCCGGAAGCAGCCUUGUGUGGCUGUUUGUCUAGAGGCUGGAAAGGUAGCUGGUAGGUGUGGUUCACCUAGCAGGCAUGGUUAGCACAAGCCUAUAACCCCAGAACUCAGGAGAGGGAGUUAGAUGGGUCAGAAAUUCUGGGUCAUCCUCAGCUACAUAGACAGUUCAAGGCCAUUCUGGGCUACAGAAAGCCCUGUCCUUUAAAAAAAAAAAUUACAAUACAGGUCUGGGGGCUGGGGUGUGGCUCUGUGAUAGAGCUCUUGCUUAGCAUGCAUAAGGCUGUGUUUGAUAUCUGCAAUUCAAAAAGGAGAAGGGGGGAGGGGAGGAGGAGGAAGAAGUGGGAGGGGAGGUGAUCCAAACCAAUAGUGUUUUAAAUUCCUCUGUCCAAUACUUCAAAGGCUUGAUACAGGCGGGCAUAUUCUGUGCAGCACCAGGUGGUUCCCACAGCCCCAUGCGCCUAGAGCUCUUGUCACUAAUAGAUGAGAUGACUGUACUGAGAGAGUAGGGAAAUCCACUUCUGUCACAUCAAGUAAGAAUCAGGCUGUGCUCUGGCUGGUCGGAUUAAUGUGACUUUCGUGUCUGUCAUCCAUGUUCUUUCUUACCUGGUGAUGGAGUGUCCCUUUCCCUCUGACUCACAGUGCCCUCAAGCAAGCUGGGCACAUAAGCAGAGAGAAGAAGAAGCCGUUGGUGCUACCAUAUCUUGCCAGUACAGAAUUCUGUAUUCAAAUUAGAUGGGGCAGUCUCCAUGAAUAAAAUUACAUUUCCCAAAGGACUGUGUCCAAUUUAAAUGGCUAAGAGGCCAAGAAGGGCGGCUGGCGGUUAGGACUGA
rnacentral:lncRNA from 1 species